UACGGGGGGGGGCAAGCGUUGUUCGGAAUUACUGGGCGUAAAGGGCUCGUAGGCGGCCAACUAAGUCGGACGUGAAAUCCCUCGGCUUAACCGGGGGAACUGCGUCUGAUACUGGAUGGCUUGAAUCCGGGAGAGGGAUGCGGAAUUCCAGGUGUAGCGGUGAAAUGCGUAGAUAUCUGGAGGAACACCGGUGGCGAAGGCGGCAUCCUGGACCGGCAUUGACGCUGAGGAGCGAAAGCCAGGGGAGCAAAGCGGG
rnacentral:rRNA from 1 species